CUCUGAUGGUUUGUUUUGCAACUACAGACGUAGACGUAAGCAGUAAACUUUCCUCCAAGCUUCAUUGCGACUAGCAAGAACAUCUACGUUUAUUAUCUGAGCGUCUGGCAGAUCUUUAGGACUUCACACAGAAUGACAAAGUCUCAUCGACUGUUCGUUCUUUAAUGAAGAGAAGACAAGGAGCUGUAUUGAAAGAGAUGGGAAAACACGGCAAAGCUGUGAUAGCAGCGACAGAGUUGAAGAUAAGUAUUAAAGAACGAACUUCUGAUCAUCUAACAGUGUUUACGGU